CACACCACGAGAGUUUGUAACACCCGAAGCCGGUGGGGUAACCCGCAAGGGAGCUAGCCGUCGAAGGUGGGAUAGAUGAUUGGGGUGAAGUCGUAACAAGGUAGCCGUAUCGGAAGGUGCGGCUGGAUCACCUCCUUU
rnacentral:ncRNA from 1 species